GAGUUUGAUCCUGGCUCGAAUCAACGCUGGCGGCGUGCCUAACACAUGCAAGUCGAACGCGAAAGGGGAGCAAUCCCUGAGUAGAGUGGCAAACGGGUGAGUAACACGUGGGUGACCUGCCUCCGAGUGGGGGAUAACGUCCCGAAAGGGACGCUAAUACCGCAUAACAUCCCGCCUUUGGAAAGGUGGAGAUCAAAGCUGGGGAUCGCAAGACCUGGCGCUUGAAGAGGGGCCCGCGCCUGAUUAGCUAGUUGGUGGGGUAACGGCUCACCAAGGCUACGAUCAGUAUCCGGCCUGAGAGGGCGGACGGACACACUGGGACUGAGACACGGCCCAGACUCCUACGGGAGGCAGCAGUGGGGAAUUGUUCGCAAUGGGCGAAAGCCUGACGACGCAACGCCGCGUGGAGGACGAAGAUCUUCGGGUCGUAAACUCCUGUCGAGUGGGAAGAAUGCUUCGAGGGUGAAUAAUCCUCGGAAUUGACGGUACCGCUAAAGGAAGCCCCGGCUAACUCCGUGCCAGCAGCCGCGGUAAUACGGGGGGGGCAAGCGUUGUUCGGAAUUACUGGGCGUAAAGGGCUCGUAGGCGGCCAACUAAGUCGGAUGUGAAAUCCCCAGGCUCAACCUGGGAACUGCAUCCGAUACUGGAUGGCUUGAAUCCGGGAGAGGGAUGCAGGAUUCCAGGUGUAGCGGUGAAAUGCGUAGAUAUCUGGAGGAAUACCGGUGGCGAAGGCGGCAUCCUGGACCGGCAUUGACGCUGAGGAGCGAAAGCUAGGGGAGCAAACGGGAUUAGAUACCCCGGUAGUCCUAGCCCUAAACGAUGAAUGCUUGGUGUAACGGGUAUCGAUCCCUGUUGUGCCGAAGCUAACGCAUUAAGCAUUC
rnacentral:rRNA from 1 species